CGUAUGUAUUGAUUACUAGUUGUUCCGAUCAUUCUUUAAUGUAUUUUGUUAUAGUAGGUGGAAUCUAUUUGGCUAGUUGCGCGUGAUUUGAGUGCUCGCGGGUUUGUGAGUCGGAAGAGGUUAGGUGAUAGAAAUUCCUUACUGCGCAAUUUGCCACUAAAAUAUUGUAUUUCCUUUGAUAGUUUGAGUGACCGUUCGGUUGUUCCGGUUAGGUGUACCGGGUUGAGCUCAAUUAGAGCGGUAGGAAAGAAAAAGCGUAAGUACGCAAGUGUACUUUUUAUUUACCCGAAGAUAAAUAUGAUUUUCGUCCAUUAGCUUCAAAUAGCCGGUGAUAUCCGACGGUUUAGGGUUGCCAGAGCUAGAGCUUAGGGUAAACGGCGAAACUUAUUUUCGAGUUCGUUCGCAUACAACGUACUACGGAACAGUUUUUAUUUCCCACAAAUCUCGAAAAUAAAGCUGCAACGAGCAACCUAAACCUGGAACCGAUGAUGGAAGGCCCUACCGGAGAGCUGUACAGCUGCGUGACAUGUCGCCGCCCAGAUUCAGCGCAGAGCAUGGUCGCUUGUGACGAGUGUUCGCAAUGGCAACAUUAUGGAUGCGCCGGUGUUACGGCUACCAUAGCCGAUCGAAGCUGGCUCUGCUGCAGAUGCGUAGCUAGUCACAACGCAGUUAAUUUUACUCAAACCGGCAACAUAAACUCGCCCGAAGCACGCACAACAUUUGCUUCUGCUCGCGCGGUCGAUCGUGAUGAUAAUACCACCGGUCCAAUUAGUGGGAGACAGGACGAUCGAAAUUUCGGAAGACUUCAAUCGUCGUCUAAUUCGAAUGCCGGAUCAGUCGUCUCAGUCAAUGCUAUUGCUCAUCUUCGUUUGAGGCACCUGAAAGAGCAAAAGGAUUUGGAAGAUCAAAAAGCGGAACGGGAUCGCGAGUUUCUUGCUAGAAAGCAGCAGCUAGAAGCAGAAAUAGCUUUGGAAGAGCUCAAUGAAGGAUGUGAUCGUAGCGUAGGAGGAAAAAGUCAUCGAAGUAUCGCCGGUUGGGUGGAACAACAAUGCGGAUUCGUGCAUACUUCUACCCCAGUCCAGCAGAAACCCGAGACAGUGGCUCCAAGUGCGAACCCACAUCCCGCCAUCCAACAGCGAGAGGAGCGGCAAAGAAUGCAAGCAAUAAUUCAAUCAGGUCAACAGAUUCAACCAAGCACUGCGCCAAAACAAGCAGAGAUUCCAGUAAGAAAUCCUCCCCCAGCUAUAGCACCGGGCCCAAGGAGCAAUUAUCUUGAUUCGAAUCCACGUUUUCCGCCAGUGGCUCAGAAUCCAGUUCCACCUGUACCAGUGAAUCCGCUAACAUUGCCACCGCCGAGCUCGUCGCAGUUCCCUGGAUUUCCAGUGAUGAAUAACCCCUACGGGACGAUGUAUUUUCCAAAUAUUCCUGACAUGCCGUCAUCUGGUGCUGAUUAUCAGUUUGCGCACCCUCAGGGAGGAGUCUUUAUCAACAACCCAGUCAGGCAUCCGAACUUUGGUUUGAAUGUACAGCCGUGUGCUUGGCAAGCAUCCGAGCAGCACCCGCCUACAGUUCCACCAACAGUGUCAGCAGAUUUGGGUAAAGGAUUUCCUCAUGCUACAGGUCGCAUGAUUACGCCACAGCAACUGGCGGCGCGUCAAGUUGUCUCUAGAGACCUCCCCAAGUUUUCCGGGGACCCACUCGAGUGGCCCAUGUUCUUGAGUGCAUUUGAAUCGACAACGGCCAUGUGUGGCAUACAACCAGACGAGAACCUUGCUAGGCUACAGAAAAGUCUUGUUGGUAGCGCUCGCGAAAAGGUCCAGAAUAUUUUAAUGCUGCCGGAUGCAAUUCCGGAAAUUAUUGACAUCCUACGAGCCGAGUGUGGAAGGCCAGAUCAAAUUGUAUAUUGUCUGCUAUCCAAGAUCCGGAAAACCGUUCAGCCGUCUGUGGCGAAAUUGGAGACGCUUGUGGCGUUCGGCAGGGAGGUACGCAACAUGGUGACGUACAUGCAGUCAGCUAAACUCAACACCCAUUUGGACAAUCCACUCUUGCUGGCAGAGCUGGUCGCUAAGCUUCCACCCGACUUGCAGCUACAAUGGGGUAUGAACUUAGCAGCUCUUCCAGAACCAUCGCUUGGUGAUUUCUGUGCGUUUGUGUCGGCUUAUCGAACAGCGGCAUGCAAGGUGAAAUUGACGUCGGAUGUUUGUCUGAAUGAUAAAGCCACAAAAGGUGUUGUGAGAAAGGAGAAGCCAGUUUAUUUGAACGCACAUUCCGCCUCCGUGUCCUCAGCGCCUGGACCACCAGCUUCGAAAGUUAAUCCGGAGCUAAAGCCGUGCCUGAUGUGCAAAAGUACAACGCACAGAGUCCGAACUUGUAAGCAGUUCGAAACGUUGCCGCUCGAAGAGAAGCUGAGUUUCAUCAGUGAAAUUGGAAUGUGUAGGCGUUGCCUGGCGCCGCAUGGAAGGUGGCCUUGCCGAAACAAGCAGCCUUGCGGGAUCAAUGGAUGCCCUGAGCCCCACCAUAAACUGCUACAUCCAGGAAGUUGUUCGACUCUCAAGAGUCAAGGAUCGGAAUCUUCGGUAUCGGUAACUGCCCAUCAUCAACACCAGCAAGGCACCACUUUCUUCAAAAUACUUCCCGUGACUCUUCACGCGAACGGGAAGUCGGUGUCCACAUUUGCUUUUCUGGAUGACGGAUCCGACCUGACGCUGGUCGAAGACGAACUUAUCGACGAACUGGGCUUGGUGGGCGAAAGAAUUCCGCUUUGCUUGCAGUGGACUAGUAACGUCACGAGAAGUGAGAGUAACUCUCGUAAGGUCGAGAUAGGUAUCUCAGGUGCAUCGAACAAUCGCAUCCAUCAGCUGGCGAACGUAAGAACCGUUGAGAGCUUGGAAUUACCGAAGCAGAGCCUGGAUUAUGAGAGUCUCUCGAAGCAGUUCCCUCAUCUGAGUAGACUCCCCAUCAGCAGCUACCGGACGGCCGUGCCACGAAUUCUUAUCGGUGUCGACAAUGCCCAGCUCAACUUAGCUUUGAAGAAGAGAGAAAGAUCCGGAGGAGAACCUAUUGCUGCUAAAUUUCGCCUCGGAUGGGCAAUAUUCGGUGGAAGACGAGCACCUGAGACGAUAGGUAGUGCUUUCGUUCAUGUCUGCGAGAGAUCCAAUAACCGCGAGCUCCAUGAACCGGUCCAGCAGUAUCUUGAAUUCGAAAACCUGGCGAUAUCCGGAUUGAAUCCACCCGAAUCCGACGAAGAUCGACGGGCCAGAAGAUUGCUCGAAAAGACGACAGUUCAUAUACCAUCCGGAAAGUUCCAAACUGGAUUGCUUUGGAAAAGCGAUGAGCCGGUUUUUCCGAACAAAUUUACCAAGGCAGUACGUCGACGCGGUUGUUUUGAAAAGCGCUUGCUGAAAGAUCCCGAACUGAAAACUAAUAUUGACAAACAAAUGAACGAUUGUCUACACAAGAGGUACGUUCACAAAGCAACGUCAGACGAGCUCCGCAACAGUGACGACGGAAAGAUUUGGCACCUGCCAAUCAGCGCAGUGCGACAUCCGAGCAAGUUAACAAAGGUGCGUGUAUUCUGGGAUGCUGCGGCUACGUAUGGAGGAAUCUUUCUGAGCUCCCAGCUUUUGAAAGGUCCGGAUUUGGUGAAGCCCCUUCUAUCUGUCCUCUGCCAAUUCCGACAGAAACAGUAUGCCAUCGCUGGGGACAUAAGGGAGAUGUUCCAGUUGAUUAUUCGUCCGGCAGAUAGAAACGCACAACGAUAUUUGUAUCAGGAGAAUUCAGAAGCUGCGCUCGACGUGUACAUGGACGUCGCAACGUUCGGGGCAAUGUGCUCCUCGUGUUCAGCACAGUUUGCUAAGAAUGGAAACGCCCAGGAACAUAAAGAUCGUUAUCCGGAAGCUGCUGAAACAAUUGUUGACAACACAAAUGUUGACGUUUUCUUUGCGAGCUGUGCCAUUGAAGAGGCAACGAAACUGGCUUUGGAACUGAGUCUGGUCAACCGAUCAGCUGGUUUUGAGAUACCUCGUUGGCAGUCGCACUCCAAACACGUUCUGAAACGGGUUGGGGUGACUACUGGAGAUAAUUUUGUAGUCAACAUGGAAAAUUGCUCGCGGUGUGGUGGUCUACCCAACAGAAUUGCUAACCUGCAUCAUCUUGUGCACCGCUUUAAGCGCUUCAAACGGGAUCCUGUGGAAUCUAGUGAGUCCUGUGGUGGUCUGAAUCGUGAUGAUUGUGUGUCGGCGGAAACAGCCAUUUGGCGGGCUGUACAGCGACAGGUGUUUGCAGGAGAAAUUCAAGCGUUUAGAAGCAGUUCUGAGCCUUCACCGAAGCGGUGGAAGCGUAUCGGCAAGGGAAGUGUCCUAGCGAAGCUAUCAUCGAUGAUCGAUGAGUCCGGUGUUCUCCGGAAGGCGAGCAGAAUCGACCACCUAGCGGCUCAUUAUUCGUUCGAAGUUCGAAAUCCUGAGAUAGUACCAAAAAAUCAUGAUGUAACCACUUCUUUGAUGCUGCGAUUUUACCAAAGGUACGGUCAUGCCACUUCCCAGACGGUACUGAACGAGAUCAAGCUACGUUACUACAUUCCCCGGAUGAGAGCCAGUUCGGAGAAGGCAUUCAAGACUCUCUCGCACCAUCAAAGGCUAGACGAUGAAGGACUGCGAACAUUGCUCUCGGAAGCAGAAUUGAUAGUCAACUCCCAUCUGCUGACGUUCGUGCCGCUGGAGGAUCCCAAGAAAGAAGUGCUGACUCCAAAUCAUUUCCUUUGGCUAAGUUCCGGCGAGGACAGCAAACCACCAAGGGUACCAAUCGACGAUGCUACACCUCUUCGACCAAACUGGAAGGUUAUUCAACACUUAACAAACCAGUUUUGGAAGCGCUGGGUGCAAGCUUACCUACCUACUAUAGCCUGCAGGACGAAAUGGUUCGCGGAAACGCGGCCGCUGAAGGUCGGCGAUCUAGUGGUCAUCGUAGACGAGUCCGUGCGCAACGGAUGGCUCCGAGGUAAGGUGGUGAGGACUUAUCCAGGACGAGACGGACAAGUUCACAAGGUCGACGUGGAGACUUGCGACGGAUCUACUCUUCAAAGACCAGCGGUAAAGGUUGCUCUGUUGGACGUGCAGGAGGAGAGUAAAGUCGAUUGACUACGACGUUACGGGUUGGGGUGUUAGUAGAACUGGCAACCUUGGUACGGGAUCGGACAAACGUCAACGCGUUGGCGCCGAAAAGGAAUUGUCAUUGUUAGAAAAUUGAUCGAAACUGCGACACGUUUUUUCCUGACCUGGCAGUUAGUUGGUUUUUAGUGAGUGGUUUUUGGAGAAAACCUAGGUGGAAUCUAUUUGGCUAGUUGCGCGUGAUUUGAGUGCUCGCGGGUUUGUGAGUCGGAAGAGUUUGAGUGACCGUUCGGUUGUUCCGGUUAGGUGUACCGGGUUGAGCUCAAUUAGAGCGGUAGGAAAGAAAAAGCGUAAGUACGCAAGUGUACUUUUUAUUUACCCGAAGAUAAAUAUGAUUUUCGUCCAUUAGCUUCAAAUAGCCGGUGAUAUCCGACGGUUUAGGGUUGCCAGAGCUAGAGCUUAGGGUAAACGGCGAAACUUAUUUGUAAGUUCAUAAGAGAUUGUUUACAUUAUCAUCAUUUAAUAAUAAAUGUAUUUACAGUCGAGUUCGUUCGCAUACAACGUACUACGGAACAGUUUUUAUUUCCCACAGUUGCUGUUUUCCGGGAUUUUGUUGCCACUAGAGUAGCACGACCGAAGCAGGUGAUUGCUCCACUGGAAUCGCGCCACUGGAAUAGCGAAAUGGAAGCGACCGGAAUUGCAAUCUGAUCCGGCAAGACUUGACACCUCUGAUGAACGACCACCUGGCAAGGUUAAACUCAAACGUAGGAUGCGGCCCUCGUAGCUGUGCAGCUUGUUCCGGUGGGGAUGUUUUGCAGCUGGGCUCGCCCGAUGGAUGGUGAUUGGUGGAUGGAAGGUUUGGUGGUAACGUGAUGAAUGCCGAAGAUUUUGCCAAACCAGAUUUGCAAUACUAUUGCCAAAUGGUUUUGCUCGAGAAAAGGAAGUUUUUCCCAGGAUUGUGGUGGUAAAAAAAGAAAGGGGUCCUAGCGAUGAAAGCGUGUAAUUAAUAUUCUCUUUUGUUUCUGCUUUACAAUUCGAAGGGUACUCACGAAAUUCGACCCCUUUUCCGAUGAUCUUCUCGUGAAGUUUGGCUUCGGCCCAGAUGAGCACGUGGCUUUUCUGAUUGGGGGGAGAAAAGAGGAAUUA